CAAGUACUCCCUCCGUCCGGAAUUACUUGUCAUCAAAAUGGAUGUGUCUAGAACUAAAAUACAUCUAGAUACAUCCAUUUCAAUGACAAGUAUUUUCGGAUAGAGGGAGUACAAG
rnacentral:pre_miRNA from 1 species